AACCGCAUCAGGUCUCCAAGGUGAGCAGCCUCUAGUCGAUAGAGAAAGGUAGGUAAGGGAAUUCGGCAAAUUAGAUCUGUAACUUCGGGAUAAGGAUUGGCUUCGAUCGUUACCCCCCUGGGUAUCGCUGCGGAAGUGCGCAGUGAAGUUUCGCGUGGCGGAGACCCGACGGCCUACACAAAAUACGAGAUCUAUACACAUCCCACAGCGGGUGCAACUCCCCGAUCCAAGGAUGUGUGUCUGUAUACUAAUGGACGGUCUUUGUGUGGCGGGUGUCGUGUCAGGGGUCACCGAGGAACGAUACUGAUACCUGGGGGAGGUUGACUCAAUUGAAACUGGCGCGGACCAAGGGAAUCCGACUGUCUACUAAAAACACAGCAUUGCGAUGGUCCCCGCGGAUGUUGACGCAAUGUGAAUCCUGCCCAGUGCUCAGACUGUCAAGACGGAGAGAUUCGACGAAGCACGGGUAAACGGCGGGAGUAACUAU
rnacentral:rRNA from 1 species